GACGAAAUCUGGGCAGUGAAUGGAAUGUGAAAAAAAUGCCGGCUUUUGAUCUAUACACCUCCCUUUAAAUCCCCCUGUAUUGUUAGCUAACAAUCGCCUUUGCUGUGAAGGAGAAAUAGGCUGCUCCCUCUGCACUCACGGGACACAGAUGACGGACUAAGGAACACCCCGAGGAGUCCUGCCUGGCUUAUUACGUGGAGGCAGGAGAGGACUGGUCUCCAGGCACGCCAGACCUGCUCAUGGCAUACACCCAGGAGACUCCUUUCCCACGGGUCCCUGGAGUUCGCGCGUCUGGAUGCCGAGGAUUGUGACACAGUGCACCAGCCAGCCUUGGAGGAGCUCCAUGGAGGUUGAGAAAAGCCAGGAUAGAGCAGCAAACAUCUGCCUCCUGCCCUUUCUCUUCCCCCAGAUCCAUGUGCGUCAGGAGGGACUGCGAACAUCGAACAACGGUGACCCAGAGCCACAAGCAGAGCCAGAGACCUGAUGGCACCCUCCUCUCCUCUUUCACUGUGGAAGUUCCUGUUGAUCUGGUCUCGGCCCUGCCACAGUCAUAGUUUCCUUUGCACCCAAAGGACAAGGCAUUUGACAAAGAACAGGGGUGCUUCUGGCUGGGCCCUUGUUGUGCUCUAAAAGUAAAACCUCUCCCACAGGCUCAUGUGUUUGAACACUUGGUCACCAGCUGGUGGUGCUGUUUGGGAAGGCUGUAGAACCUUUAGGAAGCAGAGCCUUCCUGGAGGAAGUGGAUCACAAUGGGCAGGCCGCUUCCCAUCUGCUCUGUCCUGACUGCUGACACAGCGUGGCCACACACCUCAAGCUCCUGCUGCCUUACUUUCCCCCUCCAGAAUGGUAUGUGCACUGGCUGGUUUUCUGUGUCAACUUCACACAAGCUGGAGUUAUCGGAGAAGAAGGAGCCUCAGUUGAGGAAAUGUCUCCAUGGGACAGCAGUGUGGAAUGUAAGGCAAGUAGACCCUUUCCUUCCCAACUUGCUCCUGUGUCUGUCACAGCAAUAGAACCUUAACUGAGACAGUAUGUAUCCCCCUAGAACUGUAAGCCCAAUAAACCCUGCUUCCCCUCAGGGGAUAUUUGCCAGGUGUUGGGCUUUAGCAACAGGAAAAGUAACUAAUAUAGAUCCCAUCUCGUCUCAACGGGAUGGCUUGCUUCAUAAGGCUUUGCUCACCCUUCAUAAGGCUUUGCUCACCCCUUCCUUCCCAGCCUUCUGAGCAGCAGCAGUGGAGGUGGGUACAAGCCAUUUCACUGCAGACCAUAGAACUCUUUGGGCAAACGCUCUAGAUAUUAUAUUGCUGUCUUUCAGGCCAAGAUGGCUUUUCAAGCUCUCUAAGCCCCUUCUGGUUUGACUUCACCACCAUCUAUCAUGGACGCCUAAGCUUUUCUUUACAUUCCAGGACCACUGGGGAGGCAGCUGCCUCUACCCAGGGCCUCUGCUCAGCCCCUCCUGCUAGGACAUUCAUCACAUACCCAUCACGAGUCCAAGCAGAACAUCCCUAGAUUCUGCCCACAAAGUCCAGGCCCCUCCCUAGUACUGACCUCUGGGCAGCUCCUCCAGCCACAUCUGUUCUCCAUGCUUCUCCACCGUCUGCCUCAUGCAGCUCCACCCCACAUUAAUCACUGCCUCCUCUGGUGAAUAAAGAAUUCUGCUGAAAUCGCCAAAGUCCUCCCCACCGUUCCGUCUUAGUCACCAACUUUACAGAUGUCAUGAACUCUCCAUUUCUCUUCUUCCUGAGGUUGGGCACGUGUGAGCGUCCAAGUCCGCGUUCUGACAGCCCUGCUGUUGUUCACCCACACCCGGUCUACGCUGGGUAUACGCUGAAGGUUUCCAAAGCAGCGGGUAAUUACAGGCCCUCUGUGCCCAAUUCAGCAGCCUGCCUUGUGUUAUUUGAACAGAACUGUUCUUGUCAGUGUGGAUGUGAACUGAAGGACCUCCAAGUUCAGACGCUGUGGCUCCCCCCAAUCAGCAAUUUGAGGAUGGGAAACGGAAAUUGCCCUUUUUCUUUUAAACUUAGGUGGUUGAGAGGUUGUACUGUCAUGUGAGCACACACAUUCACACGUGGGGUUGUAUGGUGGGGGUUCAUAUGUGUAUAGGUAUAUGUGUGAGUAUGUAUGAUUGAGGGGUGUGUGUGUGUGUGUGUGUGUGUGCGCGCGUGCGUGCACACACUAGAGGACAAUAAUUUGGGGAGACCUUCCUCAGAAGUUGUCCACUUUUUUUUUUUUUUUCCUGAAAUAGAGUCUCUCAUUGAGCUGGAUAUCACCAAGCAGCUUAAGCUGCCUGGUUGCUGAGCCCCAGGGAUCGGCCCAUCUCUGAUUUCCCAGAGCUCAGAUUACCACUUUGCCCAUCUUGCCUUUUACUUAAAAAACUACUUUUCUAUCAUUAUUUUUACAUGUAUGUAUGUGUACUUGUGUGAAUUUAUGUGCAGCCUAUGCCUGCAGGAGCCCGUAGAGGUCAGAAGAAGGUGUGACCUGCCAUGUGGGCGCUGGGAACUGAACCCAGGUCCUCUCCAAGAACAGUAAGACAUCUCACUUGCCAAACUGUCUCUCCAGGUACCAUCCUUGUCCCUUUCCCUCCUGUGGUUUCUGGGUACUCAGGUACUCAUGACUUCAAGGUAAGCAUUUUACUAGCUGAGCCAUCCCCACAGCCCUCGUGUGUCCAUUGCCCUCUGAUAUCAUCCACUUUGCCGUGGUGCUUAAGGAGCCUUCUAGGAAGGAUGAAAAGUCUGGUUUGGAGAGUCCGACCCCAACCAACUCACAACUCUCUUGCCUGGCUCCAAGUAGAAGCUGCAAAAGCUAAACGUUCACCUUGGAUGGUGAGGCUGCACAGCCAGCAUAGACUAGACAAUGUGGCAACAAGCAAACCGUGAAAUAUCAGUAGCUAACCACAACAAAGGUCCAUUUCUCACUCACAUUGUAUGUCCUACGUGGGCCUGUGGUCUUUGUUCCACAGUUGCUUGGGGCUUCAGACUGGUGGAGCUUUUGGCAUCUUAUAAUGACAUUGUCUAGGGAUGAGGGAGAGAUUCUUGGGAAUGAAUAAGGAGCCCAGCUCCACAGCUAUGCUCAGAGGGAAGCUGAUGCAGAAUCAAUCUCCCUUGGUACCAUGAGUAUUUCUACAGCUAGGCCUUGUCCUGGUUGAAGCUCCUCCCUUCCCACACUCUAUAAAAACAUCCCUGACCUCAGGACUAGCCAAACUCCUAGAAAGUCCCAGAGGCCUCAUUACAGCUAAGCCAUAGCAUUAGUGUACCAAAUAAUAAGAAUGUGCCCUCAGAGGGCUGUUGGCCCUUGAGAUGGGAAAAGCAUAGGCUUCCCCUUCCUUCUGCAGGUUGCUCAGUGUUGACAGCAAGUCUAGAGCCUCACACACUCCCAACUCCAGCCUCCUAACUCCACUGGGAUCCUGUAGGCAAAAGAGGCUGCUGUGGCUAGCAGACCCCUUUCCCUCUUCGUGUAUAACUGGGAGAAAUCCCAGCUGUUUUCUUUAAAUCCAACCCAGCUCCCCACUCCUCUCAAAGCCAAAGCUGGUGGCUAUAGUCCAGGCUCUACUAAAUAUUUAGGGGUCUGAAAAGAAUCAGGUCCCAGAGACCUAGCAUCUCAAAACGUCAAAUCUCAAGAUUACUUUGGUUAAUGAGCCAUCUGUGUAACUCCCAACUCCACAUUCCACAUCUGUGUCCUUCCUUGUCCUUUCCUUCUGUUCCUUUCUUCCAUUCUUCCCCAAUCCUUGAUUCCAAAAAUGCCUCCUUGUAUCUGACAUAGAGGACAACCAUCCUGUAUUUUCUUUGUCCUCUGUUGACUUAAUAUUCCAAAGACAAGGCUGCUCUCUCCCCCAGUCAUCUCAGUAUUCACAGGCAGUCACUCAAAGCUGCCCCUGACCCCAUUAUUGAAGUAGAGGUGACUUCAGAUUCACUAUGGUCUAUGUCAGCCUUGAUCAAGGACCCAACAUAAUUCUCUCCCUGUCUUCUUGAGCACAGUUUCUUGCUCUCACUUCCUUUCCCUGGGUUUUUCCACCCUCACGUAGGUGUAGUCUCUCCAGACUUUUGCAAUCCCUGUCCUGGGAAGUCAGGUUCUCAGAAUGGGGCACUGUGUUCCCAGGGCUCCAGAUCUGUGACUUGACCUACAUUGCUUUUUAAGGGCAUCCUCUCUUGCUCUGUGCUUUGGAGAGAAACAUGAGGUGCUGGAGAGGCUCUCUAAGGUUGGGGCUGUCUGAGGAAUCUCUAGAAGCCCUUGAGCCCGUCUCUCCUUUUCUCUCUACUGCCCUUACUCUGAGCAGGCAGAAAUUAGAGCGUCAGCACUUCUGGGAUCCUACUCCUGAGGAGCCAGCCAAGAGCCGCUUCGGGAGGACAUAAUUGGGGAGUGGCUGGGUUGGAGAUGAAGACUUCUGAGUGCCGUAAUCUACUCUCUUCCCCUCCAGCUUGCUGACCUUGGUCGGGUCCCUCACUUUGCUGGGCUUCUGUAUCAUUUGGCUAAAAAAGAUGUUGAAUGAUUGGAUGAGUCCCAGAGUAGCUGAAUCACAGAAGACUGUUUCUCAGCAAGCUGUUGCUAUUAGGACCCAGGGACCUUUCCGUGAUCUCUUACUGGGGUGGUAGAAGGCUCCAGAGACUUCCCCUCUGACUCUGUAAGCAGAUUCCAUUGUGGUCAGGCCACCCCUCUGCCUUUAGGCCAGUGGAUAAAAUAUUGCAGCAUCUGGAUUUUACAGUAUCAAGGUUGCUCUGUGUACAUGUGCGCACACACACACAUACACACACACAUACACACACACACACACACACACAAAGAAACAAGUCAUUUUAUGCUUUGCUCUGGAGUCAGGAGUUUUGGAAAGGGUGAGAUGAGACGGGCUGCUGUCCAACACAAGCAGCCGUAUAUGUCUGGGUGUGUCUUCCUUCAUAUCUAACAGACACUGUGGACCACUGGUCAGCGGUCACUUCUGCACAGUUCGGAGGGUGAGCAUCUUUCAUCUGAGUGGAUGCUAGGUCACCAGCUUCAGGACCCAUGUUUAUACAAGUCACCCAAAGGUGUAGGGAUGAGCUCUUUUCAAUAGCACAAGAAUCUCAAAAGAAUUAAGCUUUUCUCCUCCUGGGAGCCAGAAAUUAGGAGGUGGGAAGUGGGCUCUUGGAGACAGGAACUUGACAUCUAGGACCCCGGGAAGAAAGGGGGAAGUUCAGGGUCAAUCUUGUAUGUGCAAGCAAGUAGGAGAGAUUCCUCCAUUGGCAAACUGCCCUGGCUGCUGCUUUAGGGACAAGCUGGCUACUUCCUUCCCAACAGUAGAUGGUUCUGGAACCCAGAGAUCAGCUCUAAAGAAAACCACUUUGAAGAUUUCAUUGUAGCUAAGGAAAAGCGUCGAGAGAAGGGAGUCAGCACAGCGCUGAGUCUGGGGCAGGGGAGUGGAGCACGUCUAUCACUGGACUGUUAGUUCUCUCUGUAUAUGAAAUUAUUAGAUGACGUUGCUUGUUGGGAAACCUCCCUGGUGGGGAUGUCGACCAGGGGCUGCACCCAGGAGGCUGGCAGCACUGCUAGCCACGAGCUCCUAAGCCCUUUUGCCCUGUGCCUUCUUCUAUCUGCACUGACACGCAGACUCUCUUUCCUCUCACAUCCCGGACAGGAUCCAUGCUGACUAAGCCCAGAGCACGCGGAAUGGUUGAUUCUCUGUGGUGUCCAAGGCUGCACCUGAAGACUCUCGUGCUGGGCUUUGCCACAUGGAGCUCUGCUUCCAGGAAGUCAGGCACCAUUGAGGAAGUCUUCAUUCCUGGUGCAAGGGCACUGUAAAGAAGCCCGAGAAGGCCAUGAACAAGCAGAUCCCUAUGUAGAAUGCUGUGAGCCUCCAGCUCAGCCCAGACCUGUGUGGCACGGAGCCAGCAAUAAGCGUGGCCCGCCUUCGGGGAGCAGAGGCAUGAGCCGCACAGAGUCAAAAUUGAACAAGGCAAUGGCUUUUCAAAGUCACUGCAUUUCAGGUCUUCUGCUGCUCAGCCACAGGUACACCGAGUUUGGCAAGACAAAUUUUAGAAGAAAAGACUUUUGACCUUCCCACAAGAUGAGUGUCUUUUACUUCCUACAUUCUUCCAAAUGUUAAUACUAUCGUGAAAUUCCAAAAGCAAAGAUUCUGAAAACAUCAAAAGAUGUGUGAACUUAUUCUAUUCCAUAUUAAAAAAAAAUGUUAGCGUACAUUUAAUCCCACCCUCGUGAGGAUCAGACUCCAGCUGUAGAGCAGACAUACACACACAACUGAAUAUUUAACCGUCAUAUGGUAGAUGACAGCCUCGUAGGCCCUACUUCUCUUUGAUUCUGAAAAGCUGGGCCUGAGAUUGGGCAGAGACCAAGGAAGACCUUUGUAGGGUUCAUCAGUUUCAAAACACAAAAACUUUGACAUAAUUUUUCUAGUAUAAAUUAUUUUUAAGAGAUUUUAUUUUUGAUUGUGGGUACGUGUGCUAGGUGCGUGCAUCUGUGUUCCAGAAGGUGUUGGAUUCCCUGGAGCUGGAGUUACAGGUGCUUGGGAGCCACCCACCCUGGGUGCUGAAGGCUGAACUCAGAUCCUCUGCAAGAGAAGUAACUGUUCUCAACCACCGUGCCUUAUAAGUGUUGAACGACAGAGCUUGGGCAUUUGCCGCUGACUCCCUGACUUACUUGGCUCAGUCUCCAAUUCUUUUAAAUGUGACUUUUGCUCUACUGAGGGCAGAGUGCCAGAACCCACGAUACUUUCCCAGAUUUUCUUAGAGCUCGGAUCCCAGUUAUGAUUUGGCAGGUGCCAAUCCAAAGCUCCAUUCAAAGCUCUCCCUCAUUGCAGAGCAAGCGGACGCUCUGCAGGCAGCAGUGAAGCAGACGCCUUCCUAGUGGCAGCGGUGGUGGCAAAGGUGGACCUGGGGUUCACCUGUGGUCCUUCCCUUCAGCUUCCUAAUGAGUCUGUCAUAUGUAGUAAAGAUGAAAGGACCUUCUUUUCCUGACCCGCCACAAUGCUUUUGUUUAUUGUCAUCUGGCUUAACCACUCACUUCCAUCCAUCACACCCUCAAAAUGGCCCCCAUAGACUCCUGUGUUUGAAUGCUUGGUCUAUAAGGAGUGGCACAAUUGGAAGUCCAGCCUUGUUGGAGUAGGUGUGGUCUUGUUAGAGGAAGGGUGUUACAGCUGGUGGGCUUUGAGGUCUCAGAAGCUCAAGCCAGUUCAUUGCCUGCUCCCUGAGGAUCAAGAUGCAGAACUCUCAGCUCCUUCUCUAGCACCAUGUCUGUCUGCAGGCAGCCGUGCUUCCCCCCAUGACAAAACUGGACCAAACCUCUGAAACUGUAAGCCAGCACCAAUUAAAUGUUUUUUUUUGUAAAA